UACAGAGGGUGCAAGCGUUAAUCGGAAUUACUGGGCGUAAAGCGUGCGUAGGUGGAUAUUUAAGUCGAAUGUGAAAGCCCCGGGCUUAACCUGGGAAUUGCAUCCGAUACUGGAUAUCUAGAGUAUGGUAGAGGAAAGUGGAAUUCCCGGUGUAGCGGUGAAAUGCGUAGAUAUCGGGAGGAACAUCAAUGGCGAAGGCAACUUUCUGGACUAAUACUGACACUGAGGCACGAAAGCGUGGGGAGCAAACAGG
rnacentral:rRNA from 1 species